rnacentral:rRNA from 1 species
GACGAACGCUGGCGGCGUGCUUAACACAUGCAAGUCGAACGAGUGGCGAACGGGUGAGUAACACAUGGGCCAUCUUCCCUGCACUCUGGGAUACGCCUGGGAAACUGGGUCUAAUACUGGAUAGUUCAGGAUGAGCCCGCGGCCUAUCAGCUUGUUGGUGGGGUAAUGGCUACCAAGGCGCGACGGGUAGCCUGCCUGAGAGGGUGAUCGGCCACAUUGGGACGGAGGUACGGCCCAGACUCCUACGGGAGGCAGCAGUGGGGAAUAUGGCACAAUGGGCGGAAGCCUGAUGGAGCGACGCCGCGUGAGGGAUGACGGCCUUCGGGUUGUAAACCUCUUUCAGUAGGGACGCGGUAUCUAACCAGAAAGCCACGGCUAACUACGUGCCAGCAGCCGCGGUAAUAC